UUCAGAGGAUGUCCUAGUCGAGCAGUCUCGACUCGAGCACUCAAACUAGUUUAACAAGCAACAGAGGCUCUCAGAGUUUCAAGUCAUUCCAUUUCUUUGCAUGCAUAUGUAUUUACAUAUAUAAAUGUAAACAAAAUUUUAAGCAGUUCUUAGUUUUCGCAAUAUGGAGCGCGGGGAAGACGAGACGAAGCCUUCAAGGGGCAGCCGACUGCGGUCGAAGCUUGUCAACUGCAUAGAGGCAGUGCUGCAGAAUGCUCUCUUUUUCCUUGUAAUGGGCACAUUAUGUGCGCUGAUGAUCUUCACACUGAUUAUUGCGAUAGAGGAUGUGGCCAGGCUGAGGCAAAUGCGCCACUCCGGCCUGAGAAUGCUGCCAAAGACUAACGACAAUCUGGAACACGUUCCCCCGUGCCGCUGCCAUUGGCCCUCAGCGUGGUGUCGCCUCUUCGCCAACUGCGAUACAAAAAUAAUGCACCUCAGGCAGCUCCCGCACAGUCGCGAGCAUACGACAGAGAGCAUACCGGGAAAGCAGCUGCCAAUGGCAAGGCCUGACAGCACGAUGUUCGGCAAGCAAAUGUCUCAUCAAAUCGACGAGCCGUUGGAAUUGGAGAAUCCUCUACAAACGUAAACGAUUUAUCUGGAUAGCCUCUUUGAACAUACUAGCGAAAACAAGUAAAUUUUUUCGGAAAACCUCAAUGUAAAGUAACGAUAUAAUCGGACCUUUAAAUUGCGUAGAGCCCAACAUGAUACCGUUGUCAUUCGAAUUCAGUGAAUUUCAUUUAUUCAAUAUCUGGCAUCCUUUACAAUAACUGAACUAUCGGGUCGUUCCUGAUUUGUUUGAAUAUAUUGAAUAUAUAUGCCACCGGGCAAAUGUCUCUCGUGAAGAUCGAGACUAUCGUUGUCCCGGGUCAAUUUUGACAUGAAUCCCCUUACAUUAUUUUCUAGCUACAUUGCAAACUCCUAACUAUGAGACGAGCUCAAUGCAACUCUCAGAUGGCUACUAAUAGUAUACCAUAUCUUACACACAGCGUGCAGUCUGAGAUUUCAUGGCUGCCUGGGAUGCAAAAUAUCUUAGCGAAGUGGAUAUCGAAUGAAUGGUGCCUCUGGCCUAGGCACAGCUGAAAUUUUCUUAUAUGACAAUCGCACACGCAAUUAUUUAAAAUAAUAUAAUAAAUUUUAAGUUCAUCUGCAAA